AGUAUUGUAACAACUCUAAUUCUUUCCCUUCUAAUUUCUAUCACACAUGUUUUUCUUUUUUUUUAAAUUUAUUUUAGAACUGCUGCUUGCAUGCGCAUGUAUGUGCAUGGAUGUGCGUGUUUUUGAACGCUAUGUCGCUGGGUUAGCAGAAUCAUCACUACAUAUUAUUCCACACUAAUCCAUCAUUAUCUAUAGUCACAGUUUUAAUGACAUAAAUAACCGUUUAUACGUGCUCAAUACACUAUUAAAUUGUAUUUAUAUAUCUAAUCACAGAUAUAAUACCAUUAACACUUCUUGGAGAUUACUUUUUCUAUUAUUACAUCCAGGCAGCUAUCAGAAUUAUUGUCCAAGUUUUAUUUGUGUUAAAGUAACUCACAUUUUAGUAUUUUUCUUUUUCUUCUUCUUUUUCCUAUCGAGUCUAGAAUCUCUAAGGACUAUACAGAGAUGAGUAUGAAAUACGAGCAUCGAUAAUGGGAAAGUAAAAAAUUCCUAAUAAAAUUUUAUUUAAUUAAAAUAAAAUUUAAACAUGAGGGAGGAUUAAGUAAAAUAUAUAAACUUAUAUGACCUUCCUCUCUCGUAAGUUCUAUCUCAUAUAUGUAUAUCUCUUUUUUAAAAAUACACGUAGCAUAUAUAAACAUAUGAGUGGAAAAAUAAAGAAUAAAAAUGUUACGAACGACAUCGAUGUUUGCAUUCUGAACGUAUUUAUUUUACAUGAAAACACGCGAUGUAUCCAAUCAUUUCUGUUUCUAUAGUUUGCAGUAUAUAAAAUUCAACAUAUCGAUUAUUUUAUUAUGUAGUGAAAUUAGAAAGAUCCACUAUUGUUUUAUAUUAUAUUAUGCAUAAGAGUAUAAUGAAUUAAAUUACGAGGAUCCAUUAUUAUAUUAUCGUUUUAACAUAAUUGCUGGCACAACCAGAGUGCAGUUCUUAGUCGCGUACGUUAUGAGCAUCCAAAAAAUUUUAUCGCCACUCUUAAUAAUUAGUUACAUCUGCGGUUGUAGAGUAGCCGAAUUUUCCACAGGUGUCCCGAGACAAUUCGGUUUUCUGUACAUGCUGUUAUUAUGGUCAUGUUAUAUAUUUGUUUAUAUAUAUGGAAUAAUACCUUAUACAAUUCAUUACUCCAUCGUGUACCAUAUUUGUUUUGGAAUUAACAUUUUUACAGCUUUAUUGACAAUUAUCGUUGGAAUAUACCAUGACAAGGUAAGAGAUUUAGAAAAAUAUUAAUGUAAUGAUAUCACUGAUUAAAAAAUGGAAUAUAAAUUAUAGCUAUUUUAUAAUAUUUAUAUAACAAAAAGACUGCCGUAUUAAGAUGCCAUAUAAGAUUGUAAAAAAUUUACGACAUAUUAUAUUAUAUAUUAUAAAUUAUCGACAAACUUUAUUUCUGCUAAAUAUCUAAUAUUAAAAUUAUUAUUUGAGAGAUAGGACAGUACACGCAUGUGUAAGUGUAAUGCAUAUUUGCAUUUUACGUUACAUUUUUUUCAAUAUAGAAUGAUUAAGUUAUUAGACAUUUUAUAAAAUUGUAAAGAUUUCGAGGAAUACAUAUCAUUAAUAUAUUGCUAUUUUCUUACAUUAGGCAUUUAAAAAUUGUAUUAAAAGCCUGAAUAUUGUGGACGAUACAUUGGAAAAAUUGGGAAUAAUAACAGAUUAUAAUAAACUGCGUAUGAGAACAUUAUGGCUCAUUUUAGGAUCGUUUUUAAUAACCAUAUUAAUAAUCGGAGGAAAAAUACGAUUUUUGAAAGAUGAAUAUAAUACUGACAUUGCGCCGCUUAUCUACUUUCCUUUUAUGCGCCGUUAUUGCGCCUAUGUUAACAUUAUCAGCGAUUUCAUUAUAACAAGUAUGCUUGGGUUAGUUCAUACUUUUAAAUAUACAAAAAUAUUUGCUAAUAAUUAUUACCUAUUAAUUUUCUCAAUCUUUAGGUACGUGAGCUUGAAAUUUGAUCAAAUCAACAAAUAUCUUGAGAAAUUAAACAAAAGUAAUGAUAGAAUAAAGCGAGUUUGGGAACAUCCUGUGUUACUUUGUCAUCAAUCUAGAUAUGCAAAAAUUCCGAGAAUCAAAUAUAUGAUAUGGAUUUUAAUGUAUAAGAGCACAAACUUCUAUAUAUUAUAUUAGACCGCAUUAUAUUUCAUCAUAUGAAUUUUAUACAUGUUAGCAAUCUAAUAUAAUAUAUUGAUGUUUGUGUGUAAAACAAUUUAUAUUAAUAUAAUCGAUCAUGGUUGCAUUUGGCGUGAUAAGUUAAUAUUAUGUUUACACAGACAUCUUCAUUUGGAAUUACGUAAAAUAUCCUACAAAAUAAAUUCAAUAUUCGGAAUACAAAUGACUCUUGAAAUGGGAUGUUGCUUUGCUUCCAUAGCGUUGGCGUCUAAGAGAAAUUUUUAAUGCGAUACUCAUUAACGAUUAUAUCAAUAAUAAUAAUAAAAUGCUUUAUAUCACCAUAAUACUAUUAUGGCUUUCCGUAGACGUCUUCAGACUUUUCCUCAUUAAUUAUUUUUGUGAGAAGAUUAGCAGCAAGGCAAAUGCAACAGGAAAUAUUAUAAAUAAAUUAUCGCAUUUUAAUUGCGAUGUUGAAACUCGUGAAAAUGUAAGUUUUAACAUUUUAUAUAUUAAAUUGUUUUCGAAAUAUAAACUUUUAUUUAUGUCUAAAUAUAUAAAAAACAGUAAACCGAGAACAUAUAUAUUAAAUAAUCCAUCGUGUUGCAAUACAGAUACUACAGUUUUUACUUAUGAUUCAAUCACCAAUCAGAUUCUGUGGGCUUGGACUUUUCCAGUUUGGCUUUCAAAUUUCUUCAAGGAGUAGGUUAUAAUGAUAUAUUUAUCCGUUACAAGUCCGUUAUCUAAGAAUAUGUGUGUGAUAAAUAUUUAAAAAGAGAAACUACUGUUUUUUUUUUUGCAGUUCACUACAUCUGUUGCGACCGUUUUAGUUAUAUUAGUACAAUCGCAUAUGAAUAAGUAAACAUCUUAGACAAAUUGUAAUAAACAUAAUAUGCAAACACAAUUUGAUUAGCCACCGGCAUAUAAUAUUCAAUACAUGAUAUCUUAUAAAAUACAUUUGUCAUAUAAUAUUUAGUAUGUAAUAACUUAUAUAAUUAACGUGACAUGAUUUAAACAAUUAUACAAUUAAACAAUUAUAUAUAUUUUGUUGGAGAGCAUGCUGCAAGAUAAGGCAUUAAUAUUUUUCAUCCUAUUUUUAAAAAAUCAAAAUUUGACUUAUUUAAUUAAAUUGAAAAAUAAUAUAAAAUGAUAAAUAAUAUCAUUUCUACUAUUAUAACAAAAAUAGCUUUUGUGACUGUUUUUCGUAUUUUUUUGUUAUUCAAUUAUUUUACCUGUAAUUGAUAUGUAUUAUAAAAGUCGAUGUGCUAUUUCUUAUUGUUUGAUGAUAUAUAUAUAUAUAUAUAUAUCAUAAAACUGGAUAUAUUAUUAAGAAAAUUUAUUUUAAAAAAUUUAUUUUAUUUCACAUGCCCAUAUACAUAAUACAUGUAAAAAUAAUUUAAUAAUAAUUUAUAUUAUCGCUGUCCGUAGUAUAACUAUUUAAAAUGACAAAAUAUCACGCGCAGCUAAUAAAACAUUAUUAAAUCCAUAAUAUUUUUCCACAUUUUUGAUAUACAAUUAUGGAUCUAGCUCGGACAUGCACCAACCGGCCGUUUUACCGUGGCACCGAAAAGUGAAUUUGGCCAUAUAGUUCCGCCAGCUUUAUUUGACUUCCAUGAUAAUCAAGAUGCCUAUAAAAUUAGGACGAGAGUUAACGAUGAAUUUUUUAUUAAGCAAAUUUACCACAUGUACCACAUGUACCACAAGUUAGCAGGGUUAAGGGAUUGAGAGUUAAUGGUUGAUGCUCUAAUUGUGGAUGUUCUCCUGAACACAGAGAUAGGAUAGCUAAAAUGGUCAGGCUUGUCGAAAGUUUAAUCCUAAAGAUACUCUUUCUUAAAAUUGAGCUGAGGGCUUGAUAAUGUUAAUGUUUUAUAUUAUGUCUCAGAAUUAAGUUUAUGUUUAAGAUACCAUUAAAAAAUAUAAUUGUUAGACAAUAAUUUUAAGUUUAAGAUUCGCGAGAGAGAGAGAGAGACAAUUCAAAAAAAAAACAGCUGAUAUAGAAAAAAGAAAACUAAAACAAAAAAAUGUUAGAAUAAAAAAGAUUUGACGGCAUCUUUUUACCUUUUUAAAUUGAAGUUCCAACAUCAAAUAAUGAGCUAUGUAUAUCGCAAACUUUAUAUCGAUAUUCAAGGAAACAAGAUGUACAAGUGGAAAUAUUUAUUAUAAAUCAAGCUUAUACAUGUAUGUUUGUCAUUAAAUAACAAUAUAUUUGCACCUGAGAGCUACAGUACGCUUCGAAAGCUCCAGUAUAUGCUAGUAUGUAUUACGCAACAUUGCAUAUAUGAUAAAACAUGAUAAAACAGUACCUACGUAUUAUAUUCAUUCAUGAGCCAAUAAUAUACUUCAUAUAUAUUUCAAACAUUAUUUACUGUUCGGCACGAUUAUUGCAAGUUCGCCACCAAAAUUUAAAUUUAUUAUUUCAUUGUACAUUGUACAUAAAACAUAAGUUUUAUUUAUUUAUUAUUUAUUUAGUUUAAGAUAUAUAAUGAAAUUUGAAUUUAUAGGAAUAGUUUCAAAAAUAUUCACAUUCUCCAAUUUUUGUGAAAUAAACCAGAUACUUUUUUAAAAAAUUUUGACAAACGAGUUUUAAACACAGAUUGUAAUAAAUGCAAGGUGUGUGUUAUUCACACAUUCAAAAAAUAUUAUGAGUUAUUCAUUCAUCAAGAAAAGUGUUAUAACAAUGUCCAGAAUGAUGUGAUUAACCCCAAUUAAUCUAAUUUAUUGCGCUUCACUUGAUACAUAUAUACAAUAAAAUAAUAAAUUCAAAUCUUGGCAUCUGGGACUAUAAUAAUCAUGCUGACUGUACCAUUGCAUUAUUCUCAUCCCAAAUAUAAAAGCAUCAUUAUCUUAUCAUUAGAAAAAUUUUCCAUUUAAUAAGAUUUUAUUUGAUAAAUGUAAUGACAUUAAUUCUAUAUAUAUAAACUGUAUGUUUCUUUUUUCGUGACGAAAUAAAGUUUCGUUUAUUUUUUCUGUGUAAAAAAAGAGUAACGAAUUAUUCUGCUUUUUAUAUGUCGCAAAACAAAGAAACUUGCAUAAAAAUUUGGUGGAACUAUUCGAAUAAAACUAAUUCUGUCUUUUUUCGAUCAAAUAGAUCGUUUUUGUAAAACUUGAUCUUAAUACAGAGAAAAAUUAUAUAAAUAUUUAUUUUAUUUAAUUAAAGAAUUCAACAAAUUAUAUUUGCUCUAAAAAUCCAACAAGGAUUUUCCAUUUAUUUCUUUUUAUAUUGAAGUAAAUUAGAUACAUAUAAUACAGAUAUAUAAAUCAAUCAGAUACUAGAUGGAGAUUUUACUUGAUUUACUUAAAAUAAAAUUUAUUUUAAUGUAUUUAGAAAAAUUAAUACCAAUGCAUAUAGCGUCGAACCAUUACACUAUCUAUAAAUAAUCAUGUCAUAUAUAUCAUAUAAUAGAAAAAAAACCUAUCGCUUUAUUUCACAAACCAUAAAAAAAUUUGGUUAUACAAUGCACCAUAAUUAUGUGAUUAUGACUGUAUUAUAUUUAUGUUUGUGAGUGUAUGUAUAUAUUUUGUUUCAUUGUAAUUCAUAUAAAUCACGAAAUAAAGAAAAAAAACAUGUUAGAUAAUUUUAUAAGAUAUGUUUUAUGUGUGAGCUCGUUACUUUUGACUUUUUUAAAUUACGAGUUUAAUUAAUUAAGAGUUUAUAAUUUUAUUAAUUAAAAUAAUUCCAAAUCUUAUUCGCAAAAAUAAUAAACAUUUAAUCUUCAGCAAAUGCAGAUAUUAUAACUUUACUCUGAUACCACAAGGUUUAAAUGACUCUAUUAAAAUUCAACAGAUUUAUUAAAAAAGAAAUAUUUCUUAGAAAAAUUAAAAUUGUAAGCUAUUUUUAUUGUAUUCAUUACACAUUAAGGGGUUUAAGAAACUCUUUUCUAGAUAAGAUUUCCAAGUUCUUACGGAAUCUAAAAGAGCCCAUGACGAUUGAUAUCCACUAAAUGAAAUCAAAUUGAAAGAGAAUUUAGGCCUUUAGACUCUGAGACAAAUAUAUCUAAAGUGUACGUGAACAAUGACAAUUAAGAACAUCGGGCA